AUUGAACGCUGGCGGCAUGCCUUACACAUGCAAGUCGAACGGCAGCACGGUUGCUUGCACCUGGUGGCGAGUGGCGAACGGGUGAGUAAUACAUCUGAACAUGUCCUGUAGUGGGGGAUAGCCCGGCGAAAGCCGGAUUAAUACCGCAUACGAUCUACGUAUGAGAGCUGGGGGCCUUCUGUCCUCGCGCUAUAGGGUUGGCCGAUGGCUGAUUCGCUAGUUGGUGGGGUAAAGGCCUACCAAGGCGACGAUCAGUAGCUGGUCUGAGAGGACGACGAGCCACACGGGGAGUGAGACACGACCCAGACUCCUACGGGAGGCAGCAGUGGGGAAGUUUGGAAAAUGGGCGAAAGCCUGAUCCAGCAAUGCAGCGUGUGUGAAGAAGGCCUUCGGGUUGUAAAGCACUUUUGUCCGGAAAGACAUCCUUGGCCCUAAUACGGUCGGGGGAUGACGGUACCGGAAGAAUAAGCACCGGCUAACUACGUG
rnacentral:rRNA from 1 species